CGGGGUGAGUAAUGUAUGGGGAUCUGCCUGAUGGCGGGGGAUAACUACUGGAAACGGUAGCUAAUACCGCAUAACGUCGCAAGACCAAAGAGGGGGACCUUCGGGCCUCUUGCCAUCGGAUGUGCCCAGAUGGGAUUAGCUAGUAGGUGGGGUAACGGCUCACCUAGGCGACGAUCCCUAGCUGGUCUGAGAGGAUGAUCAGCCACACUGGGACUGAGACACGGCCCAG
rnacentral:rRNA from 1 species